AUGCUGGUCAGCAUUAACCAUGUCAGUAUCUUUGCAGUUCAUGUCGGGAUCUUUCUAAUACACGCUUUUCAGGGGAGGAGGGCAGGGAGGUUGUUUAUGGUGUGGCCAUGCAGCUUGGGGAGUCUUGGUUCCCCUAUCAGGGAUCAAACCAAGGUCCUCAGCAGUGAAAACAGAGUCCUAAGCACUGUGUCACCACAGAAUUCCCACAUCUGUGCUUCCAUGAGAUGUGCUGAUACUUUUCCCCUUUGUUGGUGGUGGUGGUGUUCAGUCACUGUCGUGUCCGACUCUUUGUGACCCCACAGACUGCAGCACGCCAGGCCUCCCUGUCCAUCACCAACUCCCAGAGCUUGCUCAGACUUAUGCCCAUCAAGUCGGUGCUGCCAUCCAACCAUUUCAUUCUCUGUCAUCCCCUUCUCCUCCUGCCUUCAGUCUUUCCCAGCAUCAGGGUCUUUUCCAAUGAGUCAGCUUUUUGUAUCGGGUGGCCAAAACAUUAAAACACUUUCAAAAACUUGAGUUCUAUGAACUUUCUAUGAAGUCAAAGAGAGUUGUUAUUCUGUAGUUAACCUCAGGCUUCAGGUAAAACCACUUUACAGCAGCAGAAACCAACAUGACCCUUGCUCUCUGCCAGCUAAUUUGAAGCUCAUCACGACCAGACUCCACACACCUGUCUUUAACACCACGAUGGGAGAAACAAAAGCCCUUUCAUCAUUGUCUCGGCAAUUUCCCGGUUCUUUCUUUAAAAGUAUUCUAAACAAUUAAAUUUUUAAAAACUAAUUUUUUAAAAAAUUUAAACAACCAACUCAAACUGGCAUUUCCCUGGUAGCUCAGUUGGUAAAGAAUCCGUCUGCAAUGCAGGAAACCCCAGUUCGAUUCCUGGGUUGGGAAGAUGCCCUGGGGAAGGGAAAGGCUACCCACGCCAGUAUUCUGGCCUGGAGAAUUCCAUGGACUGUGCAGUCCAUGGGGGUCACAAAGAGUCGGACACGACUGAGUAACUUUCAUUCUUAACUGUACUAGAAGCCCCAAUUUUAUUAUGUUUUGUUAAACAAGUAUUUAUUAAGCACCUUCGUCUAACUGAUUUUUAGAGGAUUGCCGUCGUGGAGAGAAACGCAGCACGCUGUGCUUCCUGACGUCCUGUGACGACCGCAGCCGCCUGACCCCUGGGGACCAGCGUCACCAGCACUUACGCGGCCACCUCUUAGGUCUCUGAGCUUGUUUUUUCUUCUGCCCUUUCACAAUCUCAUGCAAGCUGAGUGUGUCACAAGGAAAUGAGAUAAAGCUCAAGCCAGCCCAUUUUGCUGCUGUGAUGACCAACAGUAACCAUGGCAACGGAAAAACGUUUACUCUUUUGCCUAAAUGAGUUAUGUGAGGGUUUUCGAUUGUUCCUGUUUUGUUUUGCUUUUAAGCCAUGGGAUGUUUUGCAAUGACCAGAACAAACUGUGGUUAAAGGCUUUUGUGAAUAUUCCUGAAAGUGUUUGCGCUUAUAAGCAGUUCAUUGUCAUCCAGCGCUUCCCAAAGCCUGCUUUGUGGAAUGCUAGCCAUCAGGGACAGGGGCAGACGGCAUCCCCGGUCGGAUGAGUUGGGGGUGCUGCCCAUGGGAACCCCUCGGCACCCGGAGCACCCGCGGCCCUGAUCCUGCAGGAGCAACCCCACUGGCUUUGCUUGCUUCCACGCCCCACGCAUCUCUGUCCUGUCUGCGCUGGGCUGGGGCGGGUCAUGGUGAAGGGCCGGGGGGGGUCACAUGGUGAAGGGCCGAGGGGGGGGGGUCAUGGUGAAGGGCCGGGGCGGGGUCACAUGGUGAAGGAAGACGGGUU
ensembl:lncRNA